rnacentral:lncRNA from 1 species
AGGUGAAGCUGCAGCCACCCAGCUGUGUGUGCGGACCCGGGCAUUUCUGUGCUCUUGGGGGCCAGGGACAGGCAGGGUCCCCGCCUCCUGGGGUGCAGCUACAGCCGCCCAAGCCAUGGCUACGGACCCAAGCAUCUCUGCACUCUCCGGGCCCGGGAAGCAGCCCCUUGCCCCAGCAGGCUCAGAAGUGCCUGCUCUCACUGCCUGGCCUCUCCCGGCGCCCUCUCCGAUCUCAGAGCAAAGUUGAGGCCAAGCCCAGGUGCUGUCACAAACCCAGUCGGCUGUGCCCACUCUUGGGGCAGUGCUGACACAUCAGGCCCCUGCCGCCUCAGCCCUCUCUGGAUUUUGGGCACUGACGAGCAUGGGCUGUGACACCCUCUUUGGGGCUCUGCGGUUCCUGGCAUCUCCAAUCUUCUGGGCGCUACUGCGUUCCCUGGUGCCAGCCAUGGAAGCUGCUUGCAGUAAGCCUGGUCUAGCCGCAGCCUCACAGGGAGCCGGCACCCGUGCGGGCACCUGGAGCUGCCCCACCCCCCGACCCCCAGCCGGCAUGCCUGGCUGUGCGCAGUGGCCAGACCCCACCUCGCUCCCUCAUACAUCCCUCACUGCUCCACGCCUGGCUCACCCAUGUCAGGUGUGACAUCCAGGCCAGUAGCGCGAGCCAAGCGCAGCCUGCCAGGCCAAAACAGGCAGAACGAGCCCAGCAGGCCCGAGCAAAACUCAGGCAAAAGCGUCACCAGCCACAGAGGUUCCCAGCUGGCGAAACAACACCCCAAGGAUCCUGUGACAGUUUCAUUUUUCUUCAUGUGGCCAUUCAAUCUUCCCACCACUGUUUAUUGAAAAGGGUGUCCUUUCCCCAAUGUGUAUUCU